CAGCACCUCAAGUGGUCAGGAUGAUUAUUGGGCCUAAAGCAUCCGUAGCCGGCUCUGUAAGUUUUCGGUUAAAUCUGUAUGCUCAACAUACAGGCUGCCGGGAAUACUACAGAGCUAGGGAGUGGGAGAGGUAGACGGUACUCGGUAGGAAGGGGUAAAAUCCUUUGAUCUAUUGAUGACCACCUGUGGCGAAGGCGGUCUACCAGAACACGUCCGACGGUGAGGGAUGAAAGCUGGGGGAGCAAACCGGAUUAGAUACCCGAGUAGUCC
rnacentral:rRNA from 1 species